rnacentral:rRNA from 1 species
AUUGAACGCUGGCGGCAGGCCUAACACAUGCAAGUCGAGCGGCAGCGGGAAGGUAGCUUGCUACUUUUGCCGGCGAGCGGCGGACGGGUGAGUAAUGCCUGGGAAAUUGCCCAGUCGAGGGGGAUAACAGUGGGAAACGACUGCUACUACCGCAUACGCCCUACGGGGGAAAGCAGGGGACCUUCGGGCCUUGCGCGAUUGGAUAUACCCAGGUGGGAUUAGCUAGUUGGUGAGGUAAUGGCUCACCAAGGCGACGAUCCCUAGCUGGUCUGAGAGGAUGAUCAGCCACACUGGAACUGAGACACGGUCCAGACUCCUACGGGAGGCAGCAGUGGGGAAUAUUGCACAAUGGGGGGAACCCUGAUGCAGCCAUGCCGCGUGUGUGAAGAAGGCCUUCGGGUUGUAAAGCACUUUCAGCGAGGAGGAAAGGUUGAUGCCUAAUACGUAUCAACUGUGACGUUACUCGCAGAAGAAGCACCGGCUAACUCCGUGCCAGCCGCCGCCGUAACAC